rnacentral:rRNA from 1 species
UACGAAGGGGACUAGCGUUGUUCGGAAUCACUGGGCGUAAAGGGCGCGUAGGCGGAUCUUUAAGUCAGGGGUGAAAGCCUGAGGCUCAACCUCAGAAUUGCCUUUGAUACUGAAGAUCUUGAGACCGGAAGAGGUUAGUGGAACUGCGAGUGUAGAGGUGAAAUUCGUAGAUAUUCGCAAGAACACCAGUGGCGAAGGCGGCUAACUGGUCCGGUUCUGACGCUGAGGCGCGAAAGCGUGGGGAGCAAACAGG